rnacentral:rRNA from 1 species
AUUGAACGCUGGCGGCAUGCCUUACACAUGCAAGUCGAGCGGCAGCACGGGUGCUUGCACCUGGUGGCGAGUGGCGAACGGGUGAGUAAUACAUCGGAACAUUUCCUGUAGUGGGGGAUAGCCCGGCGAAAGCCGGAUUAAUACCGCAUACGAUCUACGGAUGACAGCGGGGGACCUUCGGGCCUCGCGCUAUAGGGUUGGCCGAUGGCUGAUUAGCUAGUUGGUGGGGUAAAGGCCUACCAAGGCGACGAUCAGUAGCUGGGCUGAGAGGACGACCAGCCACACUGGGACUGAGACACGGCCCAGACUCCUACGGGAGGCAGCAGUGGGGAAUUUUGGACAAUGGGCGAAAGCCUGAUCCAGCAAUGCCGCGUGUGUGAAGAAGGCCUUCGGGUUGUAAAGCACUUUUGUCCGGAAAGAAAUCCUUGGCCCUAAUACGGUCGGGGGAUGACGGUACCGGAAGAAUAAGCACCGGCUAACUACGUG